UCAGCUGAUUGUAAUCCGACUGCCCAAAAAUGUCAAUAAAAAGAGAUUUUUUACGUUCCUAAACGUUUCAACAUUAUUAACAUGUGAAUAGUUCCUUGAACAUUUUGUAAAAUAGUAUUUAUUUACCUUGUUCCUCCUUCCGUAAAAAUCUAGUCAACAGCAUUAGGGUAAGCCAUGGAUAUCCUGGCAGAGAGUCAUUGGGCACUGGUCCACCCUCUGCGGUCCAUGUCCAAGAAAUCCUACCGAAUUCUAGUCUUUGUUGUGUUGUGGUUUGGCUUUGGCUCAACGUACCUGUUGAAGAAACCUUUGGGUGUCAUCAAAUCAGACAUUGCCGAGGAUUUGCAUUUGUCAAAGUUUGAACUGGGCAUACUGGACACUGCUUUGCUGCUACCGUAUGCUGUGAUGCAAGUCUUUCUAGGACCUCUAGCCGACCACCAAGGCCCAAGGAAAACCAUGGCCUGUUGUCUCUUCUCGGCAGGACUCUCCAUGGCUUUCUUUGGAUUGGCCAACUCGUUUCACUUCUCCCUCCUGAUGCUGUUCCUCUGCGGCACUUGCCUGGCUCCCACCUGGCCAGCCUGUUCCAAAUGUCUGGCUUCCUACUUUGACAAGCAGAGGGACACCAUCUUUGGCAUUUUCUCGACGGCCGGCUCUGUGGGCGGCAUAUGCGGGACUGGGCUCGCCGUCUGGACAUUGAGCGUUUACGGGUGGCAACUGUCUUAUCUGUUACCGUCCAGCUUUUCCAUCUUGAUGUCCCUGUUAACGCUGGGGCUGGUUUACAGUCCCGAGGAGAUGGGACAGGGCCCAGCUCGGCCGUCGUCGUCGUCGUCGUCCAGUCAAAUAAUCGCCGCUCGUAAAAAGACGUCGACGAUAAAAUCGUGGUUGAGUCUGUGGGCGAUCCCGUUGAUCCCCGAGAUCACGCUGGCCGUUUUCACGCUCAAAGUCGUCCGCUACUGCAUGUACAUGUGGCUGCCGCUGUUCCUGCUCGACUAUUUGAACUACGACAAAGUUCAAGCCGGCCUGAUGUCGACGGCCUUCGAAGUGGGCGGCGGACUGGGCAGCGCUCUGGUGGGUUUCCUGACGCCCAGACUCUUCGCCGGCCGAUCGCUUCCCACGCUCUGUCUAUUGACCAUCUUGAGCAGUUUGUCUUUGCUCCUGUUUGCCCUGACCGCCCAAUUGGGAGCCGCAAUCAAUAUCAUCUGCCUGGUGCUGGCCGGCGCCACCAAUGCCGGACCCGACUCGCUUCUCAGCGGAUCCAUUCCAGCCAGAUUGGGUGAACGAAACGGACUAGGAGCCGGAGCUGCUUUGACAGGACUUGUAAACGGAGCCGGGAGUGUAGGCACGGUCAUCGAGGGUCCCAUCAUUGGUCUGGUUGCCCAUCGCUGGGGAUGGAUGGGCGUUCUCCUGCUAAUGGUGGUGCUGUCAUCGCUAGGAGCUGUGGCUCUGUUACGUGCCGCCUUGAGCGACUCGAGUCAGGCCAGCAGUAACGAUGACGACGACGACGAACCGACAAGCCGCCCAGUCUGACUUUUCUCCUGCCUCCUCUACAACCGCACUAUAAUGGCACCUUAGGCACCUUUAAGAAAUCUAUAAAUAUAUCCAUCGCACAAGUAAAGAAUAAAAAAAAGAACACACAACCGACAACAAUUACCCGAUACAAUGGAGCCCCGCCCGUUGCCAUGACAAUAGGAGAGAAAAAAAAUAGAGAGAUCCCUUCCUUCUUUUCAGCUGCCUCCCAGAGUUUCUUCUCGGUGGAUCUUUCACGACGCCAUUUUCAAUUAUUCACGAAGAAGGAGGUGAUGGUUCACGUGGCAAGUGGUCAAAGUGGUCAAGUGACGUGGCAGAGCUGAAAUCGAGUCAACCACGACGAUGAAACGGCCAAUGUGACGAGCGCCGUCCAGCAGGACGUGGCGGAACUGCCGGUAGUUG
rnacentral:misc_RNA from 1 species